rnacentral:misc_RNA from 1 species
GAUGAAGAACGCAGCGAAAUGCGAUAAGUAAUGUGAAUUGCAGAAUUCAGUGAAUCAUCGAAUCUUUGAACGCACAUUGCGCCCGCCAGCAUUCUGGCGGGCAUGCCUGUUUGAGCGUCAUUUCAACCCUCGAGCCCCCCCGGGGGCCUCGGUGUUGGGGGACGGCACACCAGCCGCCCCCGAAAUGCAGUGGCGACCCCGCCGCAGCCUCCCCUGCGUAGUAGCACACACCUCGCACCGGAGCGCGGAGGCGGUCACGCCGUAAAACGCCCAACUUUCUUAGAGUUGACCUCGGAUCAGGUAGGAAUACCCGCUGAACUUAAGCAUAUCAAUAAGCGGAGGA